AUGCGAGAACCGCCUGUCUUCAGUGCUGGUCCACUGUGUUUAUACCAGAAACGAGCACCUCCUACCCUUCCCACAGAUCUCUUCACGGUAGGCCAUCCCACCUCCACUUUACAAAGAAAGAAACAGAGGCUCAAAGAAGUCACAGAAAUGCCCGGCAUCUCACCAGUGGUGAAGCGUGGGUCUGAGAUCAGAACCUUGGUACCUCUGACUCGGGGCCUGUGUUCUCUGUGCCACACUGCUGUGCCUCCCUGCAAAGGAUACUGAAGAACACCCUUCUCCUCCAGCUCUGCCCCUCUGCCUGCCCCUCUCGCUGUAAGUCAGACCCCAUCUCUUUGUCUGGUCCUGCCCAGCCAAGCUGGCCAGGGCUGGGAACGGGAGCCCGGCGGGGUGGGGGCGGGAUGGAUGCUCCAACGCUCCCAGCCUUCGGGCCGGAGAUCAAACAGCCCAGCAGUGAGAGCCCAGCACGUGUGAAUCACCCUCAGAGAGGAACAGUUCCAAAUGACCACCGGCGAACUCAGAUUCCCACCAACAUCCCUCGACAUCCGACACUGCCCUCCGCCCGCCCACUGCCUCGUGGGGCCUGCCUCGCACACCCUGGGGACCUCACAGGCCUCGUCUCCCAGUUGAGAAGAAUUGGGUCCCUGCAGUAAUGCGCACUCGCACAGGGUCUGGGAAGUGGCGUAGAGUAACUGAGCCCACAUUGCAAACUGGCGGCCCCUUCCUGGCUGUGCGACAUGAGACGAGUUAAAUACCUGCCAUUAGUAACACAGGGAUGAGAAGAAUGACCCGGUGCUGUGGUGGGGAGAUGGGCCAGGGAGCAGGCCAGAGCCACUGAUGGACGGUCCCAGCUGGAAGAUGCGAGUGCCCUUCCGCACGCCAGCCCUCCACAAAAGGUUUCCACAGCCGUCAUCUUGUUGAAAUGGCACAGCCCUGGUAGGACUGUCUCCACCCCUGGAGAGAUCAGAGAGGGUCCACGAUGAAGCCGAGACCACCUGGUGGGAAGGUGUCAGCCUGGGACUUGAACCCGGCUCUAGCCGACCCCGGAUUCCCUCUCUCUUCCUGCUUCAUGAGUUAGCUUGGCCCGAAGAGAUUUAUGCCUAGAAUUACAGAUAAACUUCUGAGCGACGUUUCUCCCUUAGAGCAAUAGCAUCGGUACUGAUGCUAAUUCUUUGAAUUCCCUUGUUCUGAGACGGCAGAGGGAAUUGUUUUGUGAAAACCCUCUGCAGAAGUGAACAGGGUCCUCAGAAGGAGUCUGGCAGUGUCA
rnacentral:lncRNA from 1 species